rnacentral:rRNA from 1 species
AUUGAACGCUGGCGGCAGGCUUAACACAUGCAAGUCGAACGAGUCGCGGACGGGUGAGUCAUGCUUGGGACUCUCGCUUAUGGAGGGGGAUAACUACGGGAACCUGUAGCUAAUACCGCGUACCAUAGGAUGAGCCCAAGUGGGAUUAGGUAGUUGGUGAGGUAAAGGCUCACCAAGCCGACGAUCUCUAGCUGGUCUGAGAGGAUGACCAGCCACACUGGGACUGAGACACGGCCCAGACUCCUACGGGAGGCAGCAGGGGGGAAUAUUGCGCAAUGGGGGCAACCUGACGCAGCCAUGCCGCGUGAAUGAAGAAGGCCUUCGGGUUGUAAAGUUCUGUCGGUAGCGAGGCGUUAACUAAAGAAGAAGCACCGGCUAACUCCGUGCCAGCAGCCGCGGUAAUUC